AUAAACGCUGGCGGCGUGCCUUAGGCAUGCAAGUCGAACGGAAGCAGCAAUGCUUCAGUGGCAGACGGGUGAGUAACGCGUAGGAAUCUACCUCUGGGUAGGGCAUAGCUGGCCGAAAGGUCAGGUAAUCCCCUAUAGUCCCGCAAGGGUAAAGGACUUAACGGUCCGCCGAGAGAGGAGCCUGCGUCCUAUCAGCUAGUUGGUGAGGUAAAAGCUCACCAAGGCGAUGACGGGUAGCUGGACUGAGAGGUCGAUCAGCCACAACUGCACUGAGACACGGGCAGUACACCUACGGGUGGCAGCAACCAGGAAUAUUGCGCAAUGGACGAAAGUCUGACGCAGCGACGCCGCGUGGAGGAAGACGGCCUUAGGGUUGUAAACUCCUUUUGCCAAGCCGUUCACAGCUUGGCGAAUAAGCCUCUACUAACUACGUGCCAGAAGUCUCGGUAAUACGUGGGAGGCAAGCGUUAUCCGGAUUUACUGGGCGUAAAGUGUGCGUAGGCGCCCCAUUAAGUCGUGCUUUAAAUACUAAGGCUUACCCUUAGAGCUGAGUACGAUACUGUUGGGGUUGAGGAUUGAUAGGGAAGCUGGAACAGUACGUGUAGCAGUGAAAUGCGUUGAUAUGUACUGGAACACCAAGGGCGAAGGCAGGCUUCUGGGUUUUUCCUGACGCUGAGGCACGAAAGCUAGGGUAGCGAAACAGAUUAGAUACCUGUGUAGUCCUAGCCGUAAACGAUGUCCGCUAACUGUCCCUGCUUGCAGGGGCGGUUCAAGCUAACGCGUUAAGCGGACCGCCUGGGGAGUACGACCGCAAGGUUAAAACUCAAAGGAAUUGACGGGGACCCGCACAACUGGUGGAGCGUGUGGUUUAAUUCGAGACAAAGCGAAACACCUUACCAAGGCUUGACAUGCUACCGUUUUAUACCUUUGGAAACAUUGGUAGAUCCGCAAGGAUGGUAGUACAGGUGAUGCAUGGCUGUCGUCAGCUCGUGUCGUGAGAUGUUCCCUUAAGUGGGGAAACGAGCGCAACCCCCGCGAAAUGUUACAUAUUCAUUUCGGACUGCCCCUGUUUUACAGGGGAGGAAGGAGGGGAAGACGUCAAGUCAGCACGUCCCUUAUGCCUUGGGUCACACACACCCUACAAUGGCGAAGAACAAUGGGCAGCAAGCCGGCGACGGCAAGCAAAUCCCACAAAUUUCGCCUCAGUUCAGAUUGCAGUCUGCAACCCGACUGCAUGAAGGAGGAAUCAGUAGUAAUCGCGAAUCAGCAGGUCGCGGUGAGUACGUUCUCGGGUCUUGUACACACCGCCCGUCAAGGCAGCAAAGUUGGGAGCGGAUGAAUCAUACCUAUAUGGCGUGAGAGUCCGAGCUUAGCGAUGAAGCUU
rnacentral:rRNA from 1 species